rnacentral:rRNA from 1 species
ACUCUCGGCAAUGGAUAUCUCGGCUCUUGCAUCGAUGAAGAACGUAGCGAAAUGCGAUACGUGGUGUGAAUUGCAGAAUCCCGCGAACCAUCGAAACUUUGAACGCAAGUUGCGCCUCAAGCCAUUCGGUUGAGGGCACGUAUGCUUGGGUGUCAUGCAUUAUGUCUCCCCUCUCGUGUGUGGAGUGGGAAUAGAUCCUGGCCUCCUGGGCCCUUCCUUGGGCGUGGUUGGCCGAAAAUGUUGUCCUUGAUUUUGUUGAUGUCUUGGUGUGCGGUGGAUGUGCCAGGUGUGCAUAGUUGCCAGCCUUGCUCGGCUUCAUUGUGGCGUCGGGAUCCUAUGAAGCUGCCGGUUUUGGCUCUUUGAUUGCGACCCCAAGUCAGGCGAGACUACCCGCUGAGUUUAAGCAUAUCAAUAAGCGGAGGAGAAGAAACUUACAAGGAUUUCCUUAGUAACGGCGAGUGAAAUGGGAACAGCCCAGCCUUAGAAUCGAAUGGUUUUGCCGUUUGAAUUGUAGUCUGGAGAAGCGUCCUUAGCGGCGGACUGGGCCCAAGUCCCCUGGAAAGGGGCGCCGGAGAGGGUGAGAGCCCCGUCGGGCCUAGACCCUGUCGCACCACGAGGUGCUGUCUUAGAGUCGGGUUGUUUGGGAAUGCAGCCCAAAUUUGGUGGUGAAUUCCGUCCAAGGCUAAAUACAGGUGAGAGCCCGAUAGCGAACAAGUACCGCGAGGGAAAGAUGAAAAGAACUUUGAAAAAAGAGCCAAAGAGUGCUUGAAAUUGUCGAGAGGGAAGCGGAUGGAGACCGGCGAUAGGCCCAGGUUGGAUGUGGAACGGUGGUUAGCCGGUCUGCUGAUAGGCUCUGGGUGUGGAUCAGCGAGAAUUCAGGUGGCGGUUGAAGCUUGGGCAUUUGAUAUGCUAGGGGAAUGCCGUCUCUUGUAUUGUGGGAAGUAGUGCGCGCCCCGCGUGUGCUUCGGCACCUGCGUACUCAGGUCGUUGACUUGUGGGCUCUCCAUUCGACCCGUCUUGAAACACGGACCAAGGAGUCUGACAUGUGUGCGAGUUGGCGAGUGGAAAAACUCGCAAGGCGUAAGGAAGCUGAUUGGCGGGAUCCCUCUUCGGGGUGCACCGUCGACCGACCUCGAUCUUUUGAGAAGGGUUUGAGUGUGAGCAUACCUGUUGGGACCCGAAAGAUGGUGAACUAUGCCUGAGCGGGGUGAAGCCAGAGGAAACUCUGGUGGAAGCCCGCAGCGAUACUGACGUGCAAAUCGUUCGUCUGACUUGGGUAUAGGGGCGAAAGACUAAUCGAACCGUCUAGUAGCUGGUUCCCUCCGAAGUUUCCCUUAGGAUAGCUGGAGCUGGCGUGAGAGUUCUAUCAGGUAAAGCCAAUGAUUAGAGGCAUUGGGGGUGCAAUGCCCUCGACCUAUUCUCAAACUUUAAAUAGGUAGGAGGGUGCGGCUGCUUUGUUGAGCCGUGCCACCGAAUCAACAGCUCCAAGUGGGCCAUUUUGGUAAGCAGAACUGGCGAUGCGGGAUGAACCGGAAGCCGGGUUACGGUGCCAAACUGUGCGCUAACCUAGAUCCCACAAAGGGUGUGGUCGAUUAAGACAGCAGGACGGUGGUCAUGGAAGUCGAAAUCCGCUAAGGAGUGUGUAACAACUCACCUGCCGAAUCAACUAGCCCCGAAAAUGGAUGGCGCUAAAGCGUGCGGCCUAUACUCGGCCGUGGGGCAAGAGCCAAGCCCCAAUGAGUAGGAGGGCGCGGCGGUUGCUGCAAAACCUCGGGCGUGAGUCUGGGUGGAGCGGCCGUCGGUGCAGAUCUGGUGGUAGUAGCAAAUAUUCAAAUGAGAACUUGAAGGUUGAAGAGGGGAAAGGUUCCAUGUGAACGGCACUUGCACAUGGGUUAGUCGAUCCUAAGGGUCGGGGGAACCCUGACAGACAGCGCGUUCGGCGCGUGCACCGAAAGGGAAUCGGGUUAAAAUCCUGAACCGGGAUGUGGCGGUGACGGCAACGUAGGGAUUCCGGAGAUGUCGGCGGGGGCCCGGGAAGAGUGAUCUUUCUGUUAACAACCGCCCACCCGGAAACGGCUCAGCAGGAGGUAGGGCCAGCGGUGGAAGAGCAUCGCACUCGCGUGGGUCCGGGCGCCCCCGGCGGCCCUGAAAAGCGGAGGACCGAGUGCCGCCACGCCCGGCGACGCAUAACCGCAUCAGGCCCAAGGGAACAGCCUCGGCCAAGGAACAAUGAGGCAAGGGAAGUCGGCAAAAUGGAUCCGAACUUCGGGAAAAGGAUGGCCUGAGGGGGGCACGGGGGCCCAGUCUGAGCCCUGGGUGGGCGGACGCUGAGCUGCGCGCGGGCGAGAGCGGGUCGCGCGUGCCUUCGGGGGAUGGAUGGGAAUGGUCCUCUGGGGGCCGCCUCGGGCACGGGACAACCAACUCAGAACGGUACGGACAAGGGAAGCCGACGGUUAAGAAAACAAAGCAUUGCGAGGGCCCGCGGAUGUAACGCAAGGAUUGCUGCCCAGUGCGCUGAAGGCAAAGUGAAGAAAUCAACCAAGCGCGGGUAAACGGCGGGAGAACUAUGACUCGCUAAGGUAGCCAAAGCCGCGUCAGCUAAUAGUGACGCGCAUGAAGGAUAACGAGAGGCCCACGUCCCGGCGACUAGCCAGCGAAACCACAGCCAAGGGAACGGCGGGCAGAAGCAGCGGGGAAAGAAGACCCGGUGAGCGGACGCGAGGCGACGGGGAAAGACGGAGAGGGAGAGAAGGGGAGCGAAAGGCGAAAGGAAAACCACACUGCAACGGAGUGACGUACGCCGGAAGCGGAGACGGGAGGCCCCUCGGUGGAACCAAGGACCGCGGCGAGCGAGCCGGCGGAAGACAGGGCAGGGGGGAGUGGCGGGGCGGCACAGCGUGAAAAGAGAACGCAGGGGCCGAAGAGAGCGCAACGAGAACAGAAAGCGCGGGGGAACAGAAGGGAAAAGCGCGGGGAGGCGGAGGCCAGACGAAGACGAACCGGAAAGCGGGCCGAACGAGCCGGAGACCGCGGAAGCGAAGCGAGAGGGCAGAAAAGGACCACAGGGAGAACGGCGGGGGCAGCCAAGCGGCAGAGCGACGGGGCGGGGAGCCGCGAGGGCGGCGCGGCCGAGCAGGGGAAGCAGAAGGCACCAAGGGGGAGGGGCACCCACCAAGAGGGAACGGAGCGGGGGGAGACCGGCGGGAGACAGGGAGGGACCCGACGGAGGGGGGGGGAGAGGAAGCAACCCAGGACGAGAGGAACCGGGAGGCGCACAAGGGGCAGCGCGGGGGGGAAAAGCCAGGGGCGCGAAGCGACCGGGCGGGGAGGAGGACGGAACGCCGCGAAGGCAGAAGCCGGCGAGAGCGAGG